rnacentral:rRNA from 1 species
ACGCUAGCUACAGGCUUAACACAUGCAAGUCGAGGGGCAGCAUGUUGGUUGCUUGCAACCAAUGAUGGCGACCGGCGCACGGGUGAGUAACGCGUAUCCAACCUACCCAAUACUCAGGCAUAACCCGUUGAAAGACGGACUAAUUCCUGAUGGUAUGUAUUUUUCUCAUGAAUUAUACAUUAAAGAAUUUCGGUAUUGGAUGGGGAUGCGUCUGAUUAGUUUGUUGGUGAGGUAACGGCUCACCAAGAUAUCGAUCAGUAGGGGUUCUGAGAGGAAGGUCCCCCACAUUGGAACUGAGACACGGUCCAAACUCCUACGGGAGGCAGCAGUGAGGAAUAUUGGUCAAUGGAUGCAAAUCUGAACCAGCCAAGUAGCGUGCAGGAUGACGGCCCUAUGGGUUGUAAACUGCUUUUAUGUGAGAAUAAAGUUAGGUAUGUAUACUUAUUUGCAUGUAUCACAUGAAUAAGGACCGGCUAAUUCCGUGCCAGCAGCCGCGGUAAUACGGAAGGUCCAGGCGUUAUCCGGAUUUAUUGGGUUUAAAGGGUGCGUAGGCCGUUUGAUAAGCGUGCUGUGAAAUAUAGUGGCUCAACCUCUAUCGUGCAGCGCGAACUGUCGAACUUGAGUGCGUAGUAGGUAGGCGGAAUUCGUGGUGUAGCGGUGAAAUGCUUAGAUAUCACGAAGAACACCGAUUGCGAAGGCAGCUUACCGUAACGUUACUGACGCUUAAGCACGAAGGUGCGGGUAUCGAACAGGAUUAGAUACCCUGGUAGUCCGCACAGUAAACGAUGGAUGCUCGCUGUUGGUCUUUUUGGUCAGUGGCUUAGCGAAAGCGUUAAGCAUCCCACCUGGGGAGUACGCCGGCAACGGUGAACUCAAAGGGAAUUGACGGGGCCCGCACAAGCGGAGAAC